UUGCGCAGCUACCAUGCAAGUCGAGCGGAUGAAGGUAGCUUGCUACUGGAUUCAGCGGCGGACGGGUGAGUAAUGCUUAGGAAUCUGCCUAUUAGUGGGGGACAACGUUCCGAAAGGAGCGCUAAUACCGCAUACGUCCUACGGGAGAAAGCAGGGGACCUUCGGGCCUUGCGCUAAUAGAUGAGCCUAAGUCGGAUUAGCUAGUUGGUAGGGUAAAGGCCUACCAAGGCGACGAUCUGUAGCGGGUCUGAGAGGAUGAUCCGCCACACUGGGACUGAGACACGGCCCAGACUCCUACGGGAGGCAGCAGUGGGGAAUAUUGGACAAUGGGGGGAACCCUGAUCCAGCCAUGCCGCGUGUGUGAAGAAGGCCUUUUGGUUGUAAAGCACUUUAAGCGAGGAGGAGGCUACCUAGAUUAAUACUUUAGGAUAGUGGACGUUACUCGCAGAAUAAGCACCGGCUAACUCUGUGCCAGCAGCCGCGGUAAUACAGAGGGUGCGAGCGUUAAUCGGAUUUACUGGGCGUAAAGCGUGCGUAGGCGGCCAAUUAAGUCAAAUGUGAAAUCCCCGAGCUUAACUUGGGAAUUGCAUUCGAUACUGGUUGGCUAGAGUAUGGGAGAGGAUGGUAGAAUUCCAGGUGUAGCGGUGAAAUGCGUAGAGAUCUGGAGGAAUACCGAUGGCGAAGGCAGCCAUCUGGCCUAAUACUGACGCUGAGGUACGAAAGCAUGGGGAGCAAACAGGAUUAGAUACCCUGGUAGUCCAUGCCGUAAACGAUGUCUACUAGCCGUUGGGGCCCUUGAGGCUUUAGUGGCGCAGCUAACGCGAUAAGUAGACCGCCUGGGGAGUACGGUCGCAAGACUAAAACUCAAAUGAAUUGACGGGGGCCCGCACAAGCGGUGGAGCAUGUGGUUUAAUUCGAUGCAACGCGAAGAACCUUACCUGGCCUUGACAUACAGAGAACUUUCCAGAGAUGGAUUGGUGCCUUCGGGAACUCUGAUACAGGUGCUGCAUGGCUGUCGUCAGCUCGUGUCGGGAGAUGUUGGGUUAAGUCCCGCAACGAGCGCAACCCUUUUCCUUAUUUGCCAGCACUUCGGGGGGGAACUUUAAGGAUACUGCCAGUGACAAACUGGGAGGAAGGCGGGGACGACGUCAAGUCAUCAUGGCCCUUACGGCCAGGGCUACACAGGGGCUACAAUGGGCCGUAACAAAGGGUUGCUACACAGGGGAUGGUG
rnacentral:rRNA from 1 species